AAAAGAUUUGGCGGUAUUUUAGUCUUUUCAGAGGAACCUGCCCUAUAAUUGAUGAUCCACGAUUAAUUGUACUUAAUUUAAAAGUUUGUAUAUCGUCGUAGUUGAAUACCUUAUAAAAGAUUAAGUGUUCAUUAGUUAUAAUUUACAAAUAAAAUCAGAUCAAGAUACAGCAUAUAAUUAAGAAGAGGUGGGUUACAAUAAAAAUUAUUUAUGGAUAAAAUAGUUAAAAUUAUUUUUAAAAUUGGAUUUGAAAGUAAUAUAUUUAAGUUAAAAUAUGUGAUUUGGGCUCUAAAAUAUGCACAUAUCGCCCGUCGCUUCUAAUGAAAAAUUAAGUUAGAAUAAGUCGUAACAUAGUAGGCGUACCGGAAGGUGUGCCUAGUCUGACAAAUUAAAGCUUUAUAAAAGUAUUUUAUUUACAUUAAAAAGAUAAUUGUGUGAAUCAAUUUAGUUUGAGUUUAAUUUUUUAUAUAAUUUUUUUUUUAAAAAUUUUUAUUAAAAAAAAUAUUUUUAUAUUUAUUUAUUAAUUAAGAUAAAAUUAUUUAAGUGAUAGAUUAUUAGUAUAGUGAUAGAAUAUUGAAAAAGUUGAAAAUCUUAAAUAAUUAAAAGAAAAAUUAAUUUUUUGUACCUUGUGUAUCAGGGUUUAUUAAAUAAUAGUUAUAAAUUUAAUUUUCUCGAAUUUAAAAGAGUUAAAAAAUUAUAAAUUUUAUUGUAAAAUAAAUAUUUAAAAUAAUUUUUUAGUAAUGAAACGUUAUUCGUUUUUAAAUUUAUCUAGUUUUUUAAGAAAUAAAUUUAAUUUAGUUAUUUAUUUUAAUUAAAAUAAUUAUUUAUUUUAUAUUAAUAUAAUUAAUUAAUAUUUUAAGGGAUAAGCUUUAAAGUAAAAUAUUUAAAAAUUUUAAUUAAGGGAAAUAUAAAUUAAUAGGAUUAGAAUUUUUUAUUUUUUAUAGUAUGUUAUAAUAAAUUUAUAUUUAUAUUAAAUUUUUAUAUAAUUUUAAAUUUUUUAUUAAAAUUAUUUAUUAAAUAAUAAAAUAUAUGGAAUAAUGAUAAAAUUAGUAUAAUUUUUUUGUUAAUUUAAAUUUUUAAAUAAAGGUUAAAUUAAGGAAUUCGGCAAUUAAUUUUUUUGCCUGUUUAUUAAAAACAUGUCUUUUUGAUUAUAAUUUAAAGUCUAACCUGCCCUAUGAAUAAUUUAAAUGGCCGCGGUAUUUUGACCGUGCAAAGGUAGCAUAAUCAUUAGUUUCUUAAUUGGGAACUGGUAUGAAUGGUUGGACAAGAAAAGUACUGUCUCAAUUUAAUUUAAUUAGAAUUUUAUUUUUAAGUAAAAAAGCUUAAAUAAUUUUAAAAGACGAGAAGACCCUAUAGAGUUUUAUAUUGUAUUUCUUAUUUAAAAAUUUAGGUAUUUUAAAUUUAUAUAAUAAAUAAUAGUAUUUAGUUGGGGUGAUUAAAAAAUUGAUUAAACAUUUUUU
rnacentral:rRNA from 1 species